CCGACGGUGAGGGGUGAAAGCUGGGGGCACGAACCGGAUUAGAUACCCGGGUAGUCCCAGCCGUAAACGAUGCUCGCUAGGUGUCUGGGAUGGUGCGACCGUUUCAGGUGCCGCAGGGAAGCCGUGAAGCGAGCCACCUGGGAAGUACGGCUGCAAGGCUGAAACUUAAAGGAAUUGGCGGGGGAGCACUACAACGGGUGGAGCCUGCGGUUUAAUUGGACUCAACGCCGGAAAACUCACCUGGGGC
rnacentral:rRNA from 1 species